rnacentral:rRNA from 1 species
AGUCUGCAACCCGACUCCACGAAGUUGGAUUCGCUAGUAAUCGCGCAUCAGCCAUGGCGCGGUGAAUACGUUCCCGGGCCUUGUACACACCGCCCGUCAAGCCAUGGGAGCCGGGGGCGCCUGAAGUCCGGGACCGCGAGGACCGGCCUAAGGCGAAACUGGUGACUGGGGCUAAGUCGUAACAAGGUACC